rnacentral:rRNA from 1 species
ACCGGCGAUACCCGAAUGGGGAAACCCAGUGUGAUUCGUCACACUAUCAUUAACUGAAUCCAUAGGUUAAUGAGGCGAACCGGGGGAACUGAAACAUCUAAGUACCCCGAGGAAAAGAAAUCAACCGAGAUUCCCCCAGUAGCGGCGAGCGAACGGGGAGGAGCCCAGAGCCUGAAUCAGCAUGUGUGUUAGUGGAAGCGUCUGGAAAGGCGCGCGAUACAGGGUGACAGCCCCGUACACAAAAGCGCAUGUGCUGUGAGCUCGAUGAGUAGGGCGGGACACGUGGUAUCCUGUCUGAAUAUGGGGGGACCAUCCUCCAAGGCUAAAUACUCCUGACUGACCGAUAGUGAACCAGUACCGUGAGGGAAAGGCGAAAAGAACCCCGGCGAGGGGAGUGAAAAAGAACCUGAAACCGUGUACGUACAAGCAGUGGGAGCACCCUUUGGGUGUGACUGCGUACCUUUUGUAUAAUGGGUCAGCGACUUAUAUUCUGUAGCAAGGUUAACCGAAUAGGGGAGCCGGAGGGAAACCGAGUCUUAAUUGGGCGUUAAGUUGCAGGGUAUAGACCCGAAACCCGGUGAUCUAGCCAUGGGCAGGUUGAAGGUUGGGUAACACUAACUGGAGGACCGAACCGACUAAUGUUGAAAAAUUAGCGGAUGACCUGUGGCUGGGGGUGAAAGGCCAAUCAAACCGGGAGAUAGCUGGUUCUCCCCGAAAGCUAUUUAGGUAGCGCCUCGUGAAUUCAUCUCCGGGGGUAGAGCACUGUUUCGGCUAGGGGGCCAUCCCGGCUUACCAACCCGAUGCAAACUGCGAAUACCGGAGAAUGUUAUCACGGGAGACACACGGCGGGUGCUAACGUCCGUCGUGAAGAGGGAAACAACCCAGACCGCCAGCUAAGGUCCCAAAGUCAUGGUUAAGUGGGAAACGAUGUGGGAAGGCCCAGACAGCCAGGAUGUUGGCUUAGAAGCAGCCAUCAUUUAAAGAAAGCGUAAUAGCUCACUGGUCGAGUCGGCCUGCGCGGAAGAUGUAACGGGGCUAAACCAUGCACCGAAGCUGCGGCAGCGACACUGUGUGUUGUUGGGUAGGGGAGCGUUCUGUAAGCCUGUGAAGGUGUGUCGUGAGGCAUGCUGGAGGUAUCAGAAGUGCGAAUGCUGACAUAAGUAACGAUAAAGCGGGUGAAAAGCCCGCUCGCCGGAAGACCAAGGGUUCCUGUCCAACGUUAAUCGGGGCAGGGUGAGUCGACCCCUAAGGCGAGGCCGAAAGGCGUAGUCGAUGGGAAACGGGUUAAUAUUCCCGUACUUGGUGUUACUGCGAAGGGGGGACGGAGAAGGCUAUGUUGGCCGGGCGACGGUUGUCCCGGUUUAAGCGUGUAGGUGUGUGUUCCAGGUAAAUCCGGUUCACUUUAACACUGAGGCGUGACGACGAGGCACUACGGUGCUGAAGCAACAAAUGCCCUGCUUCCAGGAAAAGCCUCUAAGCAUCAGGUAACAUCAAAUCGUACCCCAAACCGACACAGGUGGUCAGGUAGAGAAUACCAAGGCGCUUGAGAGAACUCGGGUGAAGGAACUAGGCAAAAUGGUGCCGUAACUUCGGGAGAAGGCACGCUGACACGUAGGUGAAGUGAUUUACUCAUGGAGCUGAAGUCAGUCGAAGAUACCAGCUGGCUGCAACUGUUUAUUAAAAACACAGCACUGUGCAAACACGAAAGUGGACGUAUACGGUGUGACGCCUGCCCGGUGCCGGAAGGUUAAUUGAUGGGGUCAGCGCAAGCGAAGCUCCUGAUCGAAGCCCCGGUAAACGGCGGCCGUAACUAUAACGGUCCUAAGGUAGCGAAAUUCCUUGUCGGGUAAGUUCCGACCUGCACGAAUGGCGUAAUGAUGGCCAGGCUGUCUCCACCCGAGACUCAGUGAAAUUGAACUCGCUGUGAAGAUGCAGUGUACCCGCGGCAAGACGGAAAGACCCCGUGAACCUUUACUAUAGCUUGACACUGAACAUUGAGCCUUGAUGUGUAGGAUAGGUGGGAGGCUUUGAAGUGUGGACGCCAGUCUGCAUGGAGCCGACCUUGAAAUACCACCCUUUAAUGUUUGAUGUUCUAACGUGGACCCGUUACCCGGGUUGCGGACAGUGUCUGGUGGGUAGUUUGACUGGGGCGGUCUCCUCCUAAAGAGUAACGGAGGAGCACGAAGGUUGGCUAAUCCUGGUCGGACAUCAGGAGGUUAGUGCAAUGGCAUAAGCCAGCUUGACUGCGAGCGUGACGGCGCGAGCAGGUGCGAAAGCAGGUCAUAGUGAUCCGGUGGUUCUGAAUGGAAGGGCCAUCGCUCAACGGAUAAAAGGUACUCCGGGGAUAACAGGCUGAUACCGCCCAAGAGUUCAUAUCGACGGCGGUGUUUGGCACCUCGAUGUCGGCUCAUCACAUCCUGGGGCUGAAGUAGGUCCCAAGGGUAUGGCUGUUCGCCAUUUAAAGUGGUACGCGAGCUGGGUUUAGAACGUCGUGAGACAGUUCGGUCCCUAUCUGCCGUGGGCGCUGGAGAACUGAGGGGGGCUGCUCCUAGUACGAGAGGACCGGAGUGGACGCAUCACUGGUGUUCGGGUUGUCAUGCCAAUGGCACUGCCCGGUAGCUAAAUGCGGAAGAGAUAAGUGCUGAAAGCAUCUAAGCACGAAACUUGCCCCGA